GCCUUGACUCCCAGCAAUGUCACCACAGCAGAGCUGCUUGUACCUGCAAAGGCAAAGCUGAGUUAAAGAGCUACUCAGGAUGGAGAGCGGCUCGUCGGCUCCUGGGGAAGACUCAGAACAACAGUCCUACACACUAGUUCACCUCAGCCUCAGACAAGAGAGGCUGCUGACAUCGCUGAACACAAAACCAGAACUCAGAAAAGGGAGGCACUCCCUCAGCCAUGGCAAGAAGCAGGAGACGGGACAGUGCACGCACUGGACAGCGAGUACAUCUCCCCCCGGCAGUGCCAGGGCUGUGAGUUUAAUUCAAGGUCCCACUGUCUACACACAGACUCGAGCCACAGCCACCUAAAGUCACCUUCGCAUGACACCAUGCGACCACUCACUGGCUGGAGCCACCCAACCCUGGAGCCGGUCUCAAACCUCACCAGAGUGUACCCGAGGCUCAGGACACAGGCACGGCCAGAGCCCAGCCCUCUCUGCAGAGGGGUGAGUCACACGCUUCCCAUAGUCCUUCACUGCCUUGGCACCUACCCAUGCAGCAGUUCUGCUCUCCCUCUGCCUAGGGCGGCAUCCCCGGAUGCUGGGCGGGCACCAGGGUGCAGUGACAGCCUGGCUAGGACGGAGAUGACAAGUGAGAAAUCAAAGUGCAGAUUACGAUGUUUACCAGAGUCACCAUAAAAGGGGAGAGAUGCACCCACCAGGACAGGGGAGCAGCCACACAAGGCCUCUGUGGGUGGUCCUGUGCCUCACAGCCAGGAGCUGGGCCUCUUGGGGUGUAUGUCUUUGGGAACCCUAGGGUGCUGAGAGGGAGAAUUAACCCCAGGAGAGGCGGCACUUGCAGAAUGCCCACAGCAUGAGGUCCCAACCCCCAACACUAAUGAUCAACCGAUGCAGGACCACAAGGAGAGACAUCUCUGGAUAAGAUCAUGAGCAGGCUUGAGGGGACCUCUGGUCUGAGAGACAACUGUGCCACCUCCUGACGGACGCUAGGAAGGGGCAUCCAGAAGGUCCAACCCGCUACCCGAGUGCGACAACCACAGUGUAUCAGGGUCAGAGAGAAGUGACAACCCACAAGGAACUAUGGCCUCUGAAGGACCCUCAGUGAGCAGAGACAUCACUGCCUGGACGAGGAUCCAGACCCUCCGAGUGCCAACCCCGCACUUGUCUCCCCUUCGCUUGCUGCAAUAGACUCCUACGUGCGUAUUCGUGAAUAUACAGAAACCACAGAAAAUGGGCUGUGGUCUCCACACCUGUAGUUCAAGGUCACCCUCGGCUAACAGGAACCCUGAGACUACUCCAACCACAUGAGAAUGGCAAACCAGACCAAAACAAUAAACAAUGACUCCAUACAGCACCUUGACCCUCCACAGCCAUCUCACGGGUCUUCACGCUUACUGGCGCCACUGCCCAGGCUGAACCUGGGAUGUUACCUGGAUGCUUCUGGCUCUCAGAGUGGCAGACAAUCCUGAACAUCAGUCUGGAUGAUGGAGAGCUGUCCUGUACCUAAAGUCAAAGAUCCUCCGUCCUCCGCCCCUCCCCCCACAGUGAGGCACCAGCCAAAGGGGACCACUGUUGUUUCCUCUCCCGACCACCAGGGGGCACUGCAACACCAGAGCUGCUACAGAGGGACCAUCUAUGUCUUCCAGGAGCCACCACUGAUGCUGGAGACAUGGUUCCCACAGCCUCUUUCAAAUCCCAGCCAAUACACUCAAAGAUUCUGUCUCUAUAACCUUCGGCCAAGAAAUUAAAACUCGGCCACCUCUAGUGACACGACUCCAAGGGUCUACUCUUUAAACGGCACUGAACAUGCCUAUGAAAUCUACCUGCAGGCAGAAUGAAGAACAUCCGGCCAGUGGCCUAAUGCCGUCUCCCCCAUGCCGCCCUCCUCCCAGCGCUGCCCACAGCACGCUGAGCCCAGCCUCUGCUCUCACCAGUCUCCUGCUCCACUUUGGCUUUCUCUGCAGGCUGCUCAGACUGCGAAUCUUUCUUCUGGGGGGCUGCGCCGAAGACACCAAUUGGAGCCCACUCCAGGUACAGGGGGACAUGGUGAAACUGCAGAAACAGGGGUGCCAAGGCUGUGGGUCCCCAUCCAAGACCCAGCUUGAGACUCAGUGCUGCCUGACAGGAGGGCCAGAGAAGACUGACAGACAGAGGCCGGAGAAGCCGGCCGGGUACAGAGCCCUUCUUGCACUGGCAGGGCCCAGGACCUUCUGUACAGUCAGGUACCUGAGUACAGCCUGCAGACACUAACAUAAGACACAGGUCAUGACGCAUACGAGUCCCAGGCAGACGGCAGACAGAAAUUCCUUGUACUGAGCGGAACAGUGCCUCGCCAAGACACAGUUAAGUCUUGACCUUGAGCCCCAGCCUGUGACUGUGACCUCGGCAAUAGGAAGCGGAUCUUGGGAUGACACUGUGCUAAUUGGCUGGGCUGUAAGUUUGAUACAGAAGUUGGGAGGGCGGACAGAAUGGGAUGGGCAGAGGUGACUGGGUGAGACUGGGCUGCCAAUCAAGCUGAGAGACCAGAAUCCUCGGUCUCAUGCCACCAAGCUGGCGGCCCCUUGUCACGACAGACUCGGAAGCUCGUAUCUGCUAUUUUCUUUUCUUUAACCAAAAGUCAGCAGGAAAUCCCAGGUACAGCCGUAAUGCCCACCAUGGGGCAGCAAGCUCCAAGAGGGAAGGUGGGUUUGGGUCGAGCAUGUGUGAGCGAGGCCCAUGCUAGCCUGGGGGCAACUCUAGCUCUUGGAGUCCCUCCGGUGCCCCACCAGGAUCAGCGGCCAUACCUUGGAAUAGGCCAGGUGCCUGAAAGCCUUGCGGGCCUCCAGCGGUUCCAGGAACUCUACGAUGGCUGUGAUGCCACCUUCAGGCAGGAGCACGCGUCCCAGGCUGCCAAAGCGGCUGAAGAUCUCCUGUAGUUCAGCCGCCAGAGUACCUGCCGGGAGGUUCUUAGCCAGGAUCACAGUCUUACUUCGCUCUGCUGCAGCCUUGCAGGGGGUGGGGGGGUGAGGGGGGGGAGAAGAUGAACAUGUAGAGGGACAACAGGAAGGUGACCUCAGCAUGGCUUCAGUACUGGCCACUGGGUUGCCUCAGCAGAGAGGCCCUGUCAGGGCCCCUAGCAAACACGCUUGGACAGCCGAGCUGUGGCUGGGGGGGGGAUACUGGGGGGCUCACUCACAGGUUUCCUGCUCUUUCCAUGCCCCACAGACAGCUUUGCAGAGGGGCUGGGGCCCGAGGCUCCAGGCCACACCUCUCCUGAUUCACCACAAGCCACGUGGAGUCCAACAGUCCCCAACCACAACCCACACUGGAGCUCCCAAGGUGGCCCCAUGGGCUUCCAAAGGACAUGAGCCACAUCACAGUGCCGAGGCUCCUUCCUGGCAGCACAGACCUAUCUAUCCCCUGUGUGUGGAAGGCAGAAGAGCUAGAGACUCUCGUCCCCGAGUGCACGCUGUCAUCUGCGGGGGACAGUCUGAGGAACCAGUCUGCAGGCUUCCUCUUGGCUCAGGCUCCCUCCCCCACAGGAUCCAUCUCUCCAGCCUCUCAGGAAAUUCUCCCCUGGCUCUGCUUGACUACGGACUCACUGUGUGCAGUAAGGACUCACCUGGCUGAAAGAGUCCAGGCAGACACCAUUGUCGAUAAGGAAGCUACGGACCUCCUGGACCAGCUGGGUCUCCCCCAGAGCCACUCGCACGGCCACGCUGCCCUUGGUCUCCUGUGGGAGGAUGGGAAGAGGCCCGGGUGCUGUCAGGAGUUGGCUCAGAGGGAAAUGCCUGUGCCCACACCCAUCGUUCUCCACACUCCUCUGGACAUACAGAGUAAACCUGGGAGCCCGUGGUCCCUUCCCAGCUCGGCCUUGCCCCACGGCUCUCGAGGCGUCCCCUGGCUUUCCUCCGUGCUCGCUGCUGAAGGGGCUUCUGACACACCCACCUCAGCCUGAGCUCCUACCCCAGCCUCGCCUGCCACAUCUGUCACCUUGCUGAGCAGCCCUGUGGUGCUAUGACCACUCCUUGCUGUCUCUCUCCAGUAGAGGGCACCCAAUAGCAAGUCCCCUUCUAUCCUGGGCAUAGCUAACAUUUGAGACACUGAAACUGUCCCCUUAAAUUAGGUCAGGCUGUGGCUGCUCAAAACAGCGUCCAGUGUCUCUAAAUGUGGCCCGCUCCAUUCCAUCUCCCACCAAGGGUUAAAUACACACCAGCAGCAGACAAGGAAAACUGAUCGGGCUGUUUGCGUGUUGAGUACACGUUCCAAUCAUAGUAUUUUAGAUAUGCUGACUUAUGCUGUGAAAAUUCACCCUGACUGCUUCUCCCUGCUCCUCUGAAAUAUAAUCAUUAUCACG
rnacentral:lncRNA from 1 species